GGUGACUCAGUGGUAGAGUACUUGCCUUGCAUGCAUGAGGCCCUGGGUUCAAUUCCUCAGCACCA
rnacentral:tRNA from 1 species